rnacentral:rRNA from 1 species
ACGGGUGAGUAACGCGUGGAUAAUCUACCCGAUGAUCUGGGAUAACAUUUCGAAAGGGGUGCUAAUACCGGAUAAGACCACGGGCUCUUCGGAGUCUGCGGUAAAAGGUGGGGACCUUCGGGCCUACCGUUAUCGGAUGAGUCCGCGUACCAUUAGCUAGUUGGUGGGGUAAGAGCCUACCAAGGCGACGAUGGUUAGCUGGUCUGAGAGGAUGAUCAGCCACACUGGAACUGAGACACGGUCCAGACUCCUACGGGAGGCAGCAGUGGGGAAUUUUGCGCAAUGGGGGAAACCCUGACGCAGCAACGCCGCGUGAGUGAUGAAGGCCUUCGGGUCGUAAAGCUCUGUCAGAGGGAAAGAAGUGCGAGAGGGUUAAUACCCCUUUAGCUUGACGGUACCCUCAAAGGAAGCACCGGCUAACUCCGUGCCAGCAGCCGCGGUAAUACGGAGGGUGCGAGCGUUGUUCGGAAUUAUUGGGCGUAAAGCGCGUGUAGGCGGUCUUUUAAGUCUGAUGUGAAAGCCCCGGGCUCAACCUGGGAAGUGCAUUGGAAACUGGGAGACUUGAAUACGGGAGAGGGUAGUGGAAUUCCUAGUGUAGGAGUGAAAUCCGUAGAUAUUAGGAGGACACCGGUGGCGAAGCGGCUACCUGGACC